rnacentral:rRNA from 1 species
UACAGAGGUCUCAAGCGUUGUUCGGAUUCAUUGGGCGUAAAGGGUGCGUAGGCGGCGCGGUAAGUCGGGUGUGAAAUCUCGGAGCUUAACUCCGAAACUGCAUUCGAUACUGCCGUGCUUGAGGACUGGAGAGGAGACUGGAAUUUACGGUGUAGCGGUGAAAUGCGUAGAUAUCGUAAGGAAAGACCAGUGGCGAAGGCGGGGUCUCUGGACAGUUCCUGACGCUGAGGCACGAAGGUCAGGGGGAGCAAAACGGGG